UUGUAUCUUCAAUAGAUGUCUCUACUUUUCCUAUUUUGUGGCUGGAUACCUUUUGGACAGACUUCAUAUAUACUACAAUUUGUUCAUUUAUCUGUAGAUGGGUAUCUGGGUUUCCAGCUUGGGAGAAUUAUUAAUAAUUCUGCCAUAAACAUUCUGUACACUUAAUUUUGUGUACUAUAUUAACUUAUGUAUGUAGGAUGUAUAUCACAGUGAAAAGAGAAGGAAAAAAGAUCUCAUUGGGACCAUAUGUAUUAUCAGCAUUUAUUAUUAUUAUUAUUUAGCAUUGUGCUAAAUACUGAAAGAUAUAAAAAUGAAUUAAAAAUGAUUCUUCCAAGAAAUUUAAACAUAAUUCAGCAUGUGGAAUUUAUUGUGUUAUUACAAAAGCAGUCAACUAGCAGUGCACAUUUUAAACAGCCUUGACAUAGAGUUAGGAUAUAAUUGGUUAGAAUAUUAAGCUCACCUGGAUGCUGUGGUCAGCUAGGCACUUGUGAUUACAAGUGGAUUGCAAGUGGAAGUCACUGAUGACUGAUUUCUUCUCUAACAAGGUGUGAUUCCCUUCUACUCCCCAAUCCCUAGAAAAAGGCGGUGCUAUAGAAGAAGGUGGCUUUGCUAUGCUUAUUUUUGAGUAAGCUAAAGGAUAGAGACCAAAUUUUUAGCAUAAGACAGAAAAGUCUUGAGAAAUUUUGGGUAUCUUUCUAUAUUUCUUUUUCUGUCAAAAAGUCAGAAAAAUUGUGUUAAUUAAAUUUUGAAGCCAAAAUAUCUUUCAAGACUCUAGACAAAUUCUUUCUUUAUAAUUUAGAAAAAAAGUAAUGAACAAGUCAUAGUUGGUUCAGUGCCCAUCUAAGUGUUAAAGGCAUAAAUACUGAGUUCUUACUGUUUUUAUUAUUCUGUGGUUAGGGGUAGAGAUAUUAGCAGUAAUAGCUAUAUUGCCUUCAUAUAUAAAGAAUGACAGAAACUCCCAUGUGCUUAGAGCUGUCUUUUUAGUAGUCAUGAUGGGUUUGUGCUGGUGAACCACGCUAGACCCUCUUUGAACAGCAUGAUCUGAUAGCAAAGUGUAGAUGAGUCUGGGUCAUAUUUUAAUUGAUUUCCUUAAUUUCAGCAGCAUUUCACAAAGGAUUUUAUGCAUUUUUCAGUGAUGGAAUACGACCAAGGAAAUCAGGAUGACUGCAAAGUGAGCACAAGGACGAUGGAUAGUUAAGUAUAAUAUUGAUACACAAAGGCCCUUAAAAGUUUUGAGUUUCCUAAUGGCCAAUGAAAAGAUUAGUCUGUAAAAUAAGAGAUAUGAUUUUUUUUUAUCAUUUUGCCAACAUACAUGUAGUUUAUAAAUAGUUGUAGAAAAGUGCCUGAAUUGGAAUAUCUAGGUUUUUUUGCCUAAGCAUUUUCUAGAAGAGGAAUAUGAAGUCAUAAACCCAUUGCUGAAGGUAGUAAAUUCUGUAGUUUCGGUUUUAAUAUUCAUCAUUGUAGAUCACUGUGACAUCUUCUAUUAGCUCUUUAUCUUAUGCUGUUCAAGAUUUUUUUAAGGCUAUUUUAUGCUAAAGUAAUUUUAUUCUUGUCAAUUCCAAAACCACCUCUCAAGAUUUCACACUAUGUUUCUAGUUCAUUCAGGAUUGUUGUUGUGGGUAGAAGAUGGAGUCUUCAAAAAACUGUUCUGCCUUCUGCUUUCUUAUUUUGGGCAAUUACAGUCUUGAUAGUGACUCUGAUCUUAGGCUUUUCAUUUAUUGUUUUUUUUUCUUUCUUUCUUUCUUUUUUUUUUCUUCCUUUUUUGGACCAGGUACUUCUUUGACAUUUUCUGGCUCUCUUUUUCCUUCAACUCAGUCUGUUUGCUGGCUUAUCUCUACUUGGCUUCUUACCAUUCAUUAAUUCCCACUUGAGGCAUGGCACUUCUCCCAGAACACUUGAAUCUCCGCAGGGUCUUCCCCUGAGCACAGCUCCUUAGCACAUUAUUUUUUUCA